AACGUAGGAGACAAACGUUAUCCGGAGUUACUGGGCGUAAAGGGCGUGUAGGUGGUUUCGUAAGUCUGGCGUGAAAUUUUUCGGCUUAACCGGGAAAGGUCGUCGGAUACUGCGGAGCUAGAGGACGGUAGAGGCGUGUGGAAUUCCGGGUGUAGUGGUGAAAUGCGUAGAAAUCCGGAGGAACACCAGUGGCGAAGGCGACACGCUGGGCCGUACCUGACACUGAUGCGCGACAGCAUGGGGAGCAAACAGG
rnacentral:rRNA from 1 species